rnacentral:rRNA from 1 species
UGGCGGACGGGUGAGUAAUGUCUGGGAAACUGCCCGAUGGAGGGGGAUAACUACUGGAAACGGUAGCUAAUACCGCAUAACGUCGCAAGACCAAAGAGGGGGACCUUCGGGCCUCUUGCCAUCGGAUGUGCCCAGAUGGGAUUAGCUAGUAGGUGGGGUAACGGCUCACCUAGGCGACGAUCCCUAGCUGGUCUGAGAGGAUGACCAACCACACUGGAACUGAGACACGGUCCAG